rnacentral:sRNA from 1 species
GUUUUAUGUGUUCUAUUUUA